rnacentral:misc_RNA from 1 species
AAUACUAGAGCUUUUGACAAUAUGCUACAAGUGUUAAGGGCAGCAUUUGGCCCUGUAAUUCAAAAAUCAAACAUUAAGAAUCGAAUGAAGACCUUGAAGAGAACCUUUGCUGAGUGUAAGGAUUUAUUUCAUGGUCUUAGUGGCUUUGCUUGAAAUCCUAUAACAAAAUUGUUUGAAGCUACUUUGAUGUUUGUGAGCAAUUAAUUCAGGAAAAACCCGAAGCACGCAAGUGGAUGCAUACACCAAUCAAUAAUUAUGACAAGCUAUAUAAAUUUUAUGGUGACCAAAGAGCUGCAGGUGAAUAUGCAGAAAGUGCAAGAGAAAAGGUUAGACGCUGACAACGGGAGGAAAGUCCAUCUCAAAUUUAUUUGAAUGACACCUUUGAAAAUGUAAUAAUGUCUGACAGUGAGUUCAAUUGAGCUAAUGAGGUCACUGAUAACAAUAUGAAUAGUCCUGAACCUUCACUUCAUUCUCAGGGCACUUCUUCUAGAUGUUCUAAACGCAAAGUUUCAAUGAUGGAGAUGUUAGAAAAGCAAUAUGAAAGGUUAAAUAGUGGAAUUGAAAGGGUGUCAGAAGUCUUGGAAAGAGGAAAUGCUAUUGCAGAAAAGUCUCUUGCAAUUCUUGAAAGUGGCAGACCCCAUUAUUAUAAAGAGGAAGAGUUAUUUACAGAGUUGGAAUUGAUAGGGGUACAUCCGGAUUUCGUGAUGACAGCUUAUUGUUUCCUUUCAAAAAAUCCAUCAGCAACAAGGUCAUUUUUUGGUGUUCCACGAGCAAGGCGUUUGGAAUGGUUGAUGAGAGUUGUGAAUGACAAGUGAUCUAAAGAUGAAGGCUAAUUGACUGCAUGUUGUUUGAAUGAUGAUAUUUAGUGUUAUGUGCACUUAUUUUGUAUGUAAAAUUAGGCAUAAAUGAUAGUAUUUGGAUUUAUAUGUAUAAAUUUUAAUGAUUAGUAGGACAUACUAUCAGUAUUGAAAUUAGAUUUUGCUUGAAACAAUCGCAGC